GGCGUUAUACUUUAUACUAAAAGGUCUGGUUUGCAUCUAGAAAAAGGGAAAUACUUCCCUAAUGCC
rnacentral:tRNA from 1 species